GUUAAACUAGAGCCUCAAUCUCUAAAAAGUUUACCCUCCCUCUCAUGCCCUCUAAACGCUAAACAUUAUACCGUUUUAGCGUAUUGUUUCUUGUCUCUCUUCUCUAUGUCCUUUCUGUCGAUAUUUUCUUAGCUAGACUUGCAGGGAAGGAAAAGUAGAUGUGCAGUGCAUAAACCCUAAUCUUUCUCGGCAGUGGCCCGAUCAACUCAUUUUCUCUCUCAAUUCAAGUAACCUACAAUAUGACUGAAGACGUCGAGAUGAAGGAACUUCCUGCUCCCUCCAACUCCGCCACCUCCUCUUCCCCUUCCACACUCAACCAUUUGAAGGAGAUCGCUUCACUGAUUGAGACUGGUGCCUAUGCCCGGGAGGUGCGGCGGAUAGUGCGGGCUGUGCGCCUGACGAUGGCCUUAAGGCGAAAGCUCAAGGCUCAAGUGCUCUGUGCCUUCCUCAAUUUCGCUCUUAGUCCGGGAUCUGAGCCUCAUAAUCGGCUAGCCGCCCAUCUUCCCAAGGAGGAUGAGCAUGAAAUGGAGUUUGAUACUGCAACAUCUGUUUCUCAAACUCCUGUGAAACACCCCUUACCA
rnacentral:misc_RNA from 1 species